rfam:Lentinula edodes NBRC 111202 DNA, contig: scaffold5.
GCAUUAAUGGGGUAGUGGUAACCUGGGUCGUUGCCAUUGCGGUUUCGGAUUCGACCCGCCGGGGGUUCGAUUCCCCCUUAAUGCA